rnacentral:rRNA from 1 species
AGCGAACGCUGGCGGCAGGCCUAACACAUGCAAGUCGAACGAAGUCUUCGGACUUAGUGGCGGACGGGUGAGUAACACGUGGGAACGUACCUUUUGGUUCGGAACAACUCAGGGAAACUUGAGCUAAUACCGGAUGAGCCCUUCGGGGGAAAGAUUUAUCGCCAUUAGAGCGGCCCGCGUUAGAUUAGCUAGUUGGUGAGGUAAAGGCUCACCAAGGCUACGAUCUAUAGCUGGUCUGAGAGGAUGAUCAGCCACACUGGGACUGAGACACGGCCCAGACUCCUACGGGAGGCAGCAGUGGGGAAUCUUGCGCAAUGGGCGAAAGCCUGACGCAGCCAUGCCGCGUGAAUGAUGAAGGUCUUAGGAUUGUAAAAUUCUUUUACCAGGGACGAUAAUGACGGUACCUGGAGAAAAAGCCCCGGCUAACUUCGUGCCAGCCGCCGCCGUAAAAC